AUGCAAUCUAAGAUGUCGGCUUUCAAAACUACCCCCGACGUGCAAGUGAAGCCCAGUAAGAGGGCAAAAAAGAGUAAGCUGUCCCGAGAUCCGACCGUGACUGAAUCGGAGCUUGGCACAACUGCUCCUGAUAGCUCUACCCAUCAGCCGCCACCUGAACCAGCCUAUGACAUUCCAGCACCAACUUCUGAUCCACCCGCCGAAGACACUCUUCACAGCUCUAAUAACCCGGAAGCUCCUAGCCCGGUCAAGACAAUUGAUCCGGACAUUGAAAUUCCGAAGACUCACUUUGUUGAGCCAGGGCGACCCACUGUCCUUGCCAAGUGUUCUGCUAAGGAGGAACUACUGGAACGCUGA
rnacentral:rRNA from 1 species